UAAAGGUGGCCUCUUCUAUGCUGCCGGGUUGGGAUCGGCCCGCGUCCCAUUAGCUAGUUGGUGAGGUAACGGCUCACCAAGGCCACGAUGGGUAGCCGGCCUGAGAGGGUGUACGGCCACACUGGCACUGAGACAAGGGCCAGUCCCCUAUGGGAGGCGCAGGCGGGAAUAGUUCACAAUGGGCGAAAGCCUGAUGACGCGACGCCGCGUGAGCGAAGAAGACCUUCGGGUUGUAAAGCUCUGUCAGGAGGGAAGAAGGCUCUACGGGUUAAUAGCCCGUGGAAUUGACGGUACCUCCAGAGGAAGCCCCGGCUAAAUACGUGCCAGCAGCCGCGGUAAUACGUAUGGGGCAAGCGUUGUCCGGAUUUACUGGGCGUAAAGGGCGCGUAGGCGGUUUGUUAAGUCGAAGGUGAAAUCCUCGGGCUCAACUCGAGAAUUGCCUUCGAUACUGGCAAACUAGAGUGGCGGAGAGGAAAGCGGAACUCUUGGUGUAACGGUGGAAUGUGUAGAUAUCAAGAGGAACACCGGUGGCGAAGGCGGCUUUCUGGACGCACACUGACGCUCAGGCGCGAAAGCGUGGGUAGCAAACAGGAUUAGAUACCCUGGUAGUCCACGCCAUAAACGAUGGGUACUAGGUGUCGGGGGUAUCGACCCCUCCGGUGCCGCAGUUAACGCACUAAGUACCCCGCCUGGGGAUUAUGGUCGCAAGGCUGAAACUCAAAGGAAUUGACGGGGCCCCGCACAAGCGGUGGAGCAUGUGGUUUAAUUCGACGCAACGCGAAGAACCUUACCUGGGCUUGACAUGCUUGGGACAGCGCUGGAAACAGCGUCUCUCCUUCGGGAGCCCUUGCACAGGUGCUGCAUGGCUGUCGUCAGCUCGUGUCGUGAGAUGUUGGGUUAAGUCCCGCAACGAGCGCAACCCUCGUUACUAGUUGCCAUCAGUUCGGCUGGGCACUCUAGUGAGACUGCCGGUGAUAAACCGCCGGAAGGUGAGGAUGAUGUCAAGUCAUCAUGGCCCUUACGCCCAGGGCUACACACGUGCUACAAUGGUCGGCACAAAGGGUCGCUAAGCCGCGAGGUGGAGCUAAUCCCAAAAAGCCGGCAUCAGUUCGGAUUGGAGUCUGCAACCCGACUCCAUGAAG
rnacentral:rRNA from 1 species